AGAGUUUGAUCCUGGCUCAGAUUGAACGCUGGCGGCAGGCCUAACACAUGCAAGUCGAGCGGUAACAUUUCUAGCUUGCUAGAAGAUGACGAGCGGCGGACGGGUGAGUAAUGCUUGGGAACAUGCCUUGAGGUGGGGGACAACAGUUGGAAACGACUGCUAAUACCGCAUAAUGUCUACGGACCAAAGGGGGCUUCGGCUCUCGCCUUUAGAUUGGCCCAAGUGGGAUUAGCUAGUUGGUGAGGUAAUGGCUCACCAAGGCGACGAUCCCUAGCUGGUUUGAGAGGAUGAUCAGCCACACUGGGACUGAGACACGGCCCAGACUCCUACGGGAGGCAGCAGUGGGGAAUAUUGCACAAUGGGCGCAAGCCUGAUGCAGCCAUGCCGCGUGUGUGAAGAAGGCCUUCGGGUUGUAAAGCACUUUCAGUCAGGAGGAAAGGUUAGUAGUUAAUACCUGCUAGCUGUGACGUUACUGACAGAAGAAGCACCGGCUAACUCCGUGCCAGCAGCCGCGGUAAUAC
rnacentral:rRNA from 1 species